GUCGGCGUAGCCCAACUGGCAGGAGGCACUUGGCUUAGAUCCAAGACAGUGCGGGUUCGAAUCCCGCCGCCGGCA
rnacentral:tRNA from 1 species